UGGACGUUACUCGCAGGAAUAAGCACCGGCUAACUCUGUGCCAGCAGCCGCGGUAAUACAGAGGGUGCAAGCGUUAAUCGGAUUUACUGGGCGUAAAGCGCGCGUAGGUGGCCAAUUAAGUCAAAUGUGAAAUCCCCGAGCUUAACUUGGGAAUUGCAUUGCGAUACUGGUUGGCUAGAGUAUGGGAGAGGAUGGUAGAAUUCCAGGUGUAGCGGUGAAAUGCGUAGAGAUCUGGAGGAAUACCGAUGGCGAAGGCAGCCAUCUGGCCUAAUACUGACACUGAGGUGCGAAAGCAUGGGGAGCAAACAGGAUUAGAUACCCUGGUAGUCCAUGCCGUAAACGAUGUCUACUAGCCGUUGGGGCCUUUGAGGCUUUAGUGGCGCAGCUAACGCGAUAAGUAGACCGCCUGGGGAGUACGGUCGCAAGACUANAACUCAAAUGAAUNGACNGGGGCCCGCACAAGCGGUGGAGCAUGUGGUUUAAUUCGAUGC
rnacentral:rRNA from 1 species